CCUACGGGUGGCAGCAGUGGGGAAUAUUGCGCAAUGGGCGAAAGCCUGACGCAGCGACGCCGCGUGAGGGAUGAAGGUCUUCGGAUCGUAAACCUCUGUCAGCAGGGAAGAACGGUCACUGUGCUAAUCAGCAGUGAAUUGACGGUACCUGCAAAGGAAGCACCGGCUAACUCCGUGCCAGCAGCCGCGGUAAUACGGAGGGUGCGAGCGUUAAUCGGAAUUACUGGGCGUAAAGCGCUCGUAGGCGGUAUGUUAAGUCAAGGGGGAAAUCCCCGCGCUCAACGUGGGAACUGCCUUUGAAACUGGCAAACUGGAGUGUGUGAGAGGAUAGUGGAAUUCCAGGUGUAGGAGUGAAAUCCGUAGAUAUCUGGAGGAACAUCAGUGGCGAAGGUGACUAUCUGGCACAUAACUGACGCUGAGGAGCGAAAGCGUGGGUAGCAAACAGGAUUAGAUACCCCGGUAGUC
rnacentral:rRNA from 1 species